GGGCCCGCGGAAUAAGGCGACGGGGCGAGGAGAGAAGGGAAAGGGGAAGGGGAAGCAGUGUGUGUCGGCGCGGCGGAGCAAUGGCGGACAAGCCGAGCCGGGCGCUGGUGCUCUACGCCGCCGGCCACGCGGCGCUGCUCGCCGGGGGCGGAGGGGGGAAGGGCCACCUCGACGCGUUCGCCUCCAUCGCCUCCUGCGGCUUCCUCUCCGUCCGCACCCCCGCCGUCAACGAGGAUGGAGGGGACAAGAACAGCGGCACGAUCCUUGAGCUGGGGCAGCUGCUCGACGUGUGCGAUGCCCUCUAUCCUGCCAAGGAUGGGGAAGUUGCCCGGGUGGAUCCGCAGGAGCUAGUAGUCCCCAAGCUAUCCGAGAGGUUCAUGGGGCUGAGAGCUGCUAUGGUCACCAAUUGCCCCGGUGUUAGCUCAUUCGCGGCGAAUCUUGGUUUCCACGUUUUCGGAACUGAAGAUUUCGCCGCGCAGUCCGGUUCAGGCAGCAGUUCUAAGGACACUAGAAUAAUCGACCGGGCGUUCACUCUGCUGGGAUUUGCAGAGGGGAACGUCCAGGACGCGUCCGAAUUCGAUCUGGUGUUUGUGCAUGCCGCAAUGGAGAGCACAGCCAGCAAGCUCAGGAAAUUGGGGAUGAAGACGGAUCUCAACCGGCUUGACAAACUGGUGGCUUCAGUCAUGGAAGCUGCGCCGGUCGGUUCAGCUGUCGCCGCCCGUAUUCAUGUGUCUGUGAUCUUGAGCUAUGGAUCUGCAACAGAAAAUAAGGAAGAGGCGUGCCUCAUCGUAAACUCUUCAACCGAAACUGAUUCCGACUUGAAGUUACUCCGUCCACGCCAGAGCUACACUAUGAAAGCAGGAAAGACGUUGGAUGAUGUCAGGAAUCAUCAUCCAAUGCUACUGGCACAGUGGCAACAAGGAGUAACACGUUCUGAUUUGGCCAAAGAGUUCUCUUUUGAGGAAUUUAUAAAGCGUGCUGGAAACUUUGCUAUGCUUGCCGAGCGCUUUCUACAUGAGGUUGCAUUUAAGCUCUGGAAAGCGCCAAAAUAUGGAGCAUAGUUCUAUCUGAGGAGGUUCUCUCUUAAUAAGGCGUGGAAUCACCUAAUAAAAGGGGUGCUACACAAGUACUUCUUUCAAAUGGGUACUGCGGCAGAUAUUGCAAAUAGAUGAGUUCUGUACUCUAAGGUUCUCAUUUGGUAUCACCCAUGCUCCAUGCCGACGAUGCCGUGGUACUGGGAACUCAUAGGUUCAUUACCAGUAGUAGUUACUUCGUGGAGAUCUAUUGUGAGCCUCUCUAACGCUUUCCUUAAGUGAAACAAUGCCAUCCUUCGCAGCUUUGCUUGAAAUUUCUUAACGUGGCAGUUGUUUCUGUGUCUAGCUCUGUAUCGGCUUUGUACCAUGUGCGGAUCACUGUAAUGUAGAUGCUAUUCCUGGAAAUGAUGACCGGCUGGAGCAUCAAUUUUAAUAACAAAUACUGGAAUGUGUUUUCCUAAAGAAGGAUAAUGAAAGCAUGGCGGUACCGAUCACC
rnacentral:rRNA from 1 species